rnacentral:SRP_RNA from 1 species
GUCUGAGCUCAGUAACAAGGGCUUUUGACCUAUGUGGGGACAUUGAGAUGGUGGAACACUGGCCCGUCCCACUGGUCGGAUCUGUUGCAGCAAGUUCUGGGAUGCCCAGUCCAAGCCGAAAGUGAAUCUUGUUUGUUGUGCGAAGGCUUGAAUCAGGCGGUUCCUAUAAAGAGGUGUGAGGCUGGUUUCACAGAGCAGCGUUCACCUUCCUCUCUCGGUAAUGGAGGGAUCACAGCUCAAAGCCACUCAGAUCUAGCAUGGUUUGGUGGCUCGUACCCAGCUUAACCACCAUCUUU